UACGUAGGGUGCGAGCGUUGUCCGGAAUUAUUGGGCGUAAAGAGCUCGUAGGCGGUCUGUCGCGUCUGCUGUGAAAUCCCGAGGCUCAACCUCGGGCUUGCAGUGGGUACGGGCAGGCUAGAGUGCGGUAGGGGAGAAUGGAACUCCUGGUGUAGCGGUGGAAUGCGCAGAUAUCAGGAAGAACACCGAUGGCGAAGGCAGUUCUCUGGGCAUUACCUGACGCUGAGGAGCGAAAGCGUGGGGAGCAAACAGG
rnacentral:rRNA from 1 species